CCUUUGUUUAUUGUAGGUCAAAAUCUGUUAUGUAUACCAUUACCAAAAAACAAAUGAAAAACCCCAAACAUAUUUAUAUGAUAAGAUUUCUAAGAUUCAGCCAGUCAACUUAUUUCCAUUGUAUUUUAAAAGUCAAUUGUAAUGGUAUUUGAUUUUGAUAAUUUAAUGAGAAAUAUUUGUUUCCUCGUGCAUUGACUGCUCCCUUGUCCCAGGGACUGUUAAAAUCUGUUCUCUGUCAUCAAUGUGAAAAUUAUGGGAUUCAGAAAUGAACUUACAUAAAGUUAUUAUUUUGGAGAGAAGGUGGAGAGUGGGGUAAAGAUUUCAUCUCUUUAUAACUUUGACUGGAGGCAUAGUAUUAAGUGCUGGAGCAAUAGAAUUUGCCUUAUUUAGUAGCUGUCUACCUGUAGUUAUGCAAAUGCUUGAGCCUAUAGUAAGCACACCAUAGAAAUUCAGUUUCUGUGGUUAUACAUUCUUUUUCAUUUGUGAUAGAGAUGACAACAAUACUCUUAGUCCUAGCAGGGGAGGCUUUUGGCAAAUUUAGUAUUAGAAACUUCAUUCAAGAAAUAGUUAACAUGUUCAUUCUAGAAACUUCACAGACAAGAAUUAUUUCAGCUCAACAAUGACCUAAUUGUGUUCAGUGUCAGGUUUUGUUAUUUUAUUGAUAUUUAAGCAUGGGAGUCAGUACAGUUUGGUUGGUUUUGUGUGUGUGUGUGUGUGUGUGUGUGUGUGUGUGUGUGUGUUUUGAGGGGAAAGGAAAAUAAGUAGUAGGGGUUUGUAAUAGUAAUGUAAUAUAUGCUUUGAAGAUUUGUACUGACUUUUCUUCCAAUAACUUAAAACGGAGCAUUAGUGUGAAAGAACUUAGAACCUCAUUUUUCACGCUAAAUGAGUUCACAAGUGAGUAUUAAGUUGGCACACUGAUUCACACUGGAGUCUUGCAAAAUUAACCUUGUAGAUAGAACAUUGAAUUUAGGAUUAGAAGACUGGUAUUUCAAUCCUGAUAUUUCUGUUUAGCAACUGUGGGACUUUAAGCAAGUCAUUUCUUUCUAGGCUUUAGUUUCUUCAUCUGUAAAAUGAUGGGUUUGGUUAAUAUGAUUUCUAGACCUCUUUUAUAGUCCUAAUUUUUUUCCCACUUGGAAACAAAACUGAUUUUUAUUUGCUUCUAAAAAUUGAGUAAAAGAAACAUAAUUAAAGAUUUUGAGUUUUCCCCAGUCCUUCUGUAAAAGGAGUUUUCUCUUUAUGGUUUAUAUCAAAAUUUCAAAAAAGAGCUGUUAAUCUGUUUCUUAACUCUCCCCCCCAAAACAAAACAAAACAAAACAAAACAAAACACAACACAACAAAACCUCUCAACCUUGAUUAUUGAAAACCAUUUGUAUAAAAACAUUGAUAGUUGUAAUAAAAAAGUAGGCUUUGUCAGACUCAUAGAUAUCUUUUCCUGAUGUAACUUUUAAAUAUUCUUCAUAUUAUACAUCUAUAGGAAGGUGAUUUUGUUUUUUUCAUGUAGUUGAACACAAAAGUGUCUAAGUCAAAAAGAAAAAAAAAAUAACCAAACAAGAAGCUAUAAGAAUGCCCCUUCUCUCCCUAAACAACCACAAUAGCAACAACUAUUUUGUUUUACUAUGAGAAUCUUUAGCUGUAGGAACAAAACUUUGGAAGCUAUAAACCUGUUUAGAAUGCCACAAAUUUUUUUUUUUUUCCCGAACAAAGGUCAAUGAAAUGGAUAAAAAUGGUUGUUUCUCCCCCAGAUGAAGGUAAAGGUGGAAGGAAAAAAAGUAGAAAUUUGUUCAUCUGAUUACAUGACAAAUGAUGGUAGUAGCUCUCAUUAGGAAUAAGCUUUUUGUCUCAUAGGAUGGCUAAGUAUUAAAAAGACUAGAUCCUGAGGUCUUUUUUUUUUUUUUUUUAAAGGAAUUAUUCUUUCUGGUUAUUGACCAAAUUUACCAGAAAUAACCAAUAUGAUGUGAAAGCUGGGUUUGGAGUUAGGACCCUUCAUGAACCACCCUUAGUACCUCAAGAGGUCUUGGGUUACAUUUGCUGAGGUUGACAUGUCUUCUUAGUUGUGGAUAUUUGUAUUGGCCAGUCAACCUAAGGAACUGACCAGAAAACUGAACCAGUCAGCCCACAGAGUUGGCUCAGGGAGAUUCUUUUUUUUUUUUUUUUUUUUUCUCCUGUGUUCUCUUGUCCUGAGCUUGAGUGGAUGACUUCUCAGUAUCACUGCUCUUCUUAGAACUUCCCGAGAGCUGUAGGGUUAUCAGAGCCCAACAGGAAUCCCAUUGUUAGAGCUAUUCCUCUUGAUAUGCUGUAUAAUUUUUAAAAAUGUUGUUUAAAUGUUUCUUCUCCUCUACUCCCACCUUCAUUUUUUGAGAGAAAGUCUGCGUCUCCCCUAUUUUUAGUUUCUUUUAUUUGAGCAAGAUUAUUCUGAAGAAUUUUGAAUGUACCUGCCAUAAUUAGAAAAGAACAGUUUCAAAAACAGUCUUUUUAGCUGAAGCUUUUUUUUUUUUUUUUUUUUUUAAGAUUGACAGUAGGUGUUUGGAAAAACAUUGAAUGCCAAAAUGUUUGGGAGCUCUUUGCCAGACUAAUGAUAACUGAAUAUAUUAUAGAAUGUAAACAAUACCAGAAAUGGGUCCUCAGUCAAGAAUAGCUUUGCUUUUCGUUAGAAAGCUGCAUGUUAAUGAAGUCAAAGAGUUGUGUGGUCAUUUGAAGACCAGUGGUAUAGCCAAUGAUAUGGCAGGACUUUCUUGGUAGUAGCCAAACAGGAGGUCAGACUUCAUAAAGAGAAUGUUUUGUAUCUAGCCAACAACAGUCAAUAUGGCUGUAUGGCUUUAGACUUCAUCUCUGCUGAAUAUUCUGUGUUGUGUAUUGUGUGCUUCUCCUGUACUGAAAAGCUUUGUACUGCCUCUCCUCUCUGAAACUGGUAAAGCCUUUCUAUAAAUCUAAAUUAAUGAGCUUGCACAAUCUUGUAUACCUACAGGAAACUCGUCUUGUCUCUAAUGUGAUUAUUAAUGUAUUAUAUCAUUCUGUAAAACUGAUUAAAAAAGGAGAGCAGUUUAACUCCCUGGAGUUUGUUUCCAUCAUCAUAUUAUGUAGUUUGUCUUAUAAGCAUUGUUGAAAAUUUUUUGAGUUGUAAAUAUUAUCGUUCUUCAUGAAUUCACACUUACUUUUUCCUUAAGAACGCUUGAAAAUGUGUGUUUUAGAAGAAGGAAUUUGAGAGGCAGGCUACAUGACUAUCGUGGAAAAAAAGAACACUGACCUGGGAAUAAAAAAGAGACCAAGUUCUAGUCUUGGCUUUACCUCUGAUUAAUUUUCCAUGUAACUGAAUAUUGCUAAUUGUAGGUCAUAUAGUUCUGUAGCAAUUUAAAGUUUAUAGAGCUCAAAUAAUACAAGAAUUAUG
rnacentral:lncRNA from 1 species